rnacentral:rRNA from 1 species
CCUACGGGUGGCUGCAGUGGGGACUAUUGCACAAUGGGGGAAACCCUGAUGCAGCGACGCCGCGUGAGUGAAGAAGUAUUUCGGUAUAUACAGCUCUGUCAGCAGGGAAGAAAAUGACGGUACCUGACCAAGAAGCCCCGGCUAACUCCGUGCCAGCAUCCGCGGUACUACUUAGGGGGCAAGCGUUCUCCGGAUUUACUGGGUGUAAAGGGAGCGUAGACGGCAGGGCAAGUCUGGAGUGAAAGGCGGGGGCUCAACCCCCGGACUGCGCUGGAAACUGCCAGGCUGGAGUACAGGAGAGGUAAGUGGAAUUCCUAGUGUAGCGGUGAAAUGCGUAGAUAUUAGGAGGAACACCAGUGGCGAAGGCGGCUUACUGGACUGUAACUGACGUUGAGGCUCGAAAGCGUGGGGAGCAAACAGGAUUAGAUACCCCGGUAGUC